GUUUGCACGUUUCUCGGUUCAUCCGUCAUCGUCUCACGUUGUCGGCACAUAACCCCUUCAUCCUCUCUUCAUCACCUUUCGUCUUCCAUCUCUUCCAUUUCUCUUCCGCCAUAUCCGUUUCCAGUUACUUCACCACUAAUUUCUGUAAUCAAACUUUCAUAACUCUCAUUUAAUGGACCUCUUUCACCUUCUUCCCUAUUUUUCUAUUUAUACAUCUCCUUUCUUAGCACAUCGACCCAUCAAAACUGAUAAAACUCUCUCAAACUUUUCUCGAUGGACGGCUCCUCCAACUCUUCCGGCUUCGGCGACCGCACGAACAGUGGAAAGACUGUCGCCUCCUCUGCAACUGCGAACCCUAAUGGCAACCCGUCGAACCCAAAUGGCACUACCGAUCUCUCCUCGAGCAAGUGAUGUUCUUCCGAGAUGUUUCAUUCGGGCCACGUGAAGCCGUGGUGAGUUCCGUCUGAUUCACUUCUGAGACGUUCGGAAUCCAAACACGAAAAUUCUCAUCGGACAAGAGAUGCUCCUUAUCGACGAAGAGGGUGGAAUGUUGUUUGAACUUUACAGCGCUGAAAGCUUUUCCCUUUGUACGUGUUUACAGUGACAGCUGGUUUCACUACUGAUGAUAACCUUGCUCCAAUUAUUCAGAAUAAUAGCUGCCGCCGAAGGGAACUGAAAUCGACAAAAAUAUGUUUAGAACUAGAGACAGCAGAAGUUGUAGAUCGCUUGAAUCGUUGAUCAUUAAUAACAAUGAAUUUGGUGACUUUUUUACACUGUCUAUUUGAUCUCCUGGGAAUUGGUUAAUUCACUUUCUUAGUUUUGAUUCUCUGUCCUUGCGUUGGAGGGAACCUCUAGCAUUAGAUAUUACUCUAUGAUGUGAGUUCAUAUUUUUUACUUAUGGUUAAAGCAAGAAUCCCAUCAACUUGAAACAGAAUUUUCAAGACAAAGGGAGAAAGACAAGAAGAUGGAACGCGAUAAAGACAGAGACAUGAUCAUGAUCUACAUCGUGAAAAUGUGAAGAGCAGAGAUAGAAACAUGAAGAACAGAAGAGGUCUCAGGAUCGACAAAGUGAGAAAAUACACAUGUGACGACCACACUCUCGAAGAGCUUGCUUAACUAAAGCUUUGAGUUCCAUGGAAAGUUGCUUAUAUGUUUCAGUUGCAUGGAGAAGCCAAUUUCCAACGCCACACGUUUCAUUUUCGAGGCCAUUGCUCCUGACUGCAGAUUCACAGUGGCUGAACCAACAAAUUACUAAUAGUGAAGAUUAGGCUGCCCAUUGUUGUGGAAUCCCCGGGUUUAAGCGUUAAACGAGAGCAGAAAAUAUGGUAAAUAAUCGUACAGUCUUUAGAUCGUGAUAGUUGUUUAUACUGAGAAAAGGAUAAAUAUUACUGAAUCUGAACUUGAAAGGCUAGAAAUCAACAGUAAAAGUUGAAACAUAUAUCAGUUCAAUU